CUACGGGAGGCUGCAGUGGGGAAUAUUGCACAAUGGGGGAAACCCUGAUGCAGCAACGCCGCGUGGAGGAUGACACAUUUCGGUGCGUAAACUCCUUUUAUAGGUCAAGAUAAUGACGGUAGCCUAUGAAUAAGCGCCGGCUAACUCCGUGCCAGCAGCCGCGGUAAUACGGAGGGCGCAAGCGUUACUCGGAAUCACUGGGCGUAAAGAGCAUGUAGGCGGGUUAAUAAGUCAGAAGUGAAAUCCAAUAGCUCAACUAUUGAACUGCUUUUGAAACUGUUAACCUAGAGUGUGGGAGAGGUAGAUGGAAUUUCUGGUGUAGGGGUAAAAUCCGUAGAGAUCAGAAGGAAUACCGAUUGCGAAGGCGAUCUACUGGAACAUUACUGACGCUGAGAUGCGAAAGCGUGGGGAGCAAACAGGAUUAGAUACCCGCGUAGUC
rnacentral:rRNA from 1 species